CUUCCUCAGAUUGUCUGGGAUCCAACUUUGCACAGAUGGGUUAACAAAACUGAGCCCAAGGCUGAGAACAAGUAUGUACAACCACCUCCACGAAUGGGGACAUAUGGAUAUCAGGAGAACACUGGCAGUGUCCCCAAAGGACAGGUCUAUGGGGCAGCAGAUACCCUACAAUGCAUUACAAUGAUGAGACCAACUCAAAGCCUUGGGCCUGGACUGCUUCCUAGACAGCUCUCUGGCUUGCUCCCUCCUUCACACUUUGACCUCAUGGCACCAAUGGUUGUACCACCUGACACUCUACCCUACUGAGGCCAUUUGCCCAGAUUGGAUUUGCAAUACAUAGAUUUUUUCAGCAUUAAAAAACUUCAGCAUUA
ensembl:lncRNA